rnacentral:rRNA from 1 species
AUUGAACGCUGGCGGCAGGCCUAACACAUGCAAGUCGAGCGGAUGAAGGGAGCUUGCUCCUGGAUUCAGCGGCGGACGGGUGAGUAAUGCCUAGGAAUCUGCCUGGUAGUGGGGGAUAACGUCCGGAAACGGGCGCUAAUACCGCAUACGUCCUGAGGGAGAAAGUGGGGGAUCUUCGGACCUCACGCUAUCAGAUGAGCCUAGGUCGGAUUAGCUAGUUGGUGGGGUAAAGGCCUACCAAGGCGACGAUCCGUAACUGGUCUGAGAGGAUGAUCAGUCACACUGGAACUGAGACACGGUCCUGACUCCUAAGGGAGGCAGCAGUGGGGAAUAUUGGACAAUGGGCGAAAGCCUGAUCCAGCCAUGCCGCGUGUGUGAAGAAGGUCUUCGGAUUGUAAAGCACUUUAAGUUGGGAGGAAGGGCAGUAAGUUAAUACCUUGCUGUUUUGACGUUACCAACAGAAUAAGCACCGGCUAACUUCGUG